rnacentral:rRNA from 1 species
UACGUAGGGGGCAAGCGUUGUCCGGAUUUAUUGGGCGGAAAGAGCGUGUAGGCGGUUAGGUAGGUCCGUUGUGAAAACUCGAGGCUCAACCUCGAGACGCCGAUGGAAACCAUCUGACUAGAGUCCGGAAGAGGAGAGUGGAAUUCCUGGUGUAGCGGUGAAAUGCGCAGAUAUCAGGAAGAACACCCGUGGCUAAGGCGGCUCUCUAGUACGUGACUGACGCUGAGACGCGAAAGCGUGGGGAGCGAACAGG